UACGUAGGGUGCAAGCGUUGUCCGGAAUUAUUGGGCGUAAAGAGCUCGUAGGCGGUUCGUCGCGUCGGCUGUGAAAACCCGGAGCUCAACUCCGGGCCUGCAGUCGAUACGGGCGGACUGGAGUGUUGCAGGGGAGACUGGAAUUCCUGGUGUAGCGGUGAAAUGCGCAGAUAUCAGGAGGAACACCGGUGGCGAAGGCGGGUCUCUGGGCAACUACUGACGCUGAGGAGCGAAAGUGUGGGGAGCAAACAGG
rnacentral:rRNA from 1 species